rnacentral:rRNA from 1 species
ACGCUGGCGGCGUGCCUAAUACAUGCAAGUCGAGCGAGCGGAACUAACAGAUUUACUUCGGUAAUGACGUUAGGAAAGCGAGCGGCGGAUGGGUGAGUAACACGUGGGGAACCUGCCCCAUAGUCUGGGAUACCACUUGGAAACAGGUGCUAAUACCGGAUAAGAAAGCAGAUCGCAUGAUCAGCUUUUAAAAGGCGGCGUAAGCUGUCGCUAUGGGAUGGCCCCGCGGUGCAUUAGCUAGUUGGUAAGGUAAAGGCUUACCAAGGCGAUGAUGCAUAGCCGAGUUGAGAGACUGAUCGGCCACAUUGGGACUGAGACACGGCCCAAACUCCUACGGGAGGCAGCAGUAGGGAAUCUUCCACAAUGGACGCAAGUCUGAUGGAGCAACGCCGCGUGAGUGAAGAAGGUUUUCGGAUCGUAAAGCUCUGUUGUUGGUGAAGAAGGAUAGAGGUAGUAACUGGCCUUUAUUUGACGGUAAUCAACCAGAAAGUCACGGCUAACUACGUGCCAGCAGCCGCGGUAAUACGUAGGUGGCAAGCGUUGUCCGGAUUUAUUGGGCGUAAAGCGAGCGCAGGCGGAAGAAUAAGUCUGAUGUGAAAGCCCUCGGCUUAACCGAGGAACUGCAUCGGAAACUGUUUUUCUUGAGUGCAGAAGAGGAGAGUGGAACUCCAUGUGUAGCGGUGGAAUGCGUAGAUAUAUGGAAGAACACCAGUGGCGAAGGCGGCUCUCUGGUCUGCAACUGACGCUGAGGCUCGAAAGCAUGGGUAGCGAACAGGAUUAGAUACCCUGGUAGUCCAUGCCGUAAACGAUGAGUGCUAAGUGUUGGGAGGUUUCCGCCUCUCAGUGCUGCAGCUAACGCAUUAAGCACUCCGCCUGGGGAGUACGACCGCAAGGUUGAAACUCAAAGGAAUUGACGGGGGGCCCGCACAAGCGGUGGAGCAUGUGGUUUAAUUCGAAGCAACGCGAAGAACCUUACCAGGUCUUGACAUCUAGUGUCAUUUGUAGAGAUACAAAGUUCCCUCCGGGGACGCUAAGACAGGUGGUGCAUGGCUGUCGUCAGCUCGUGUCGUGAGAUGUUGGGUUAAGUCCCGCAACGAGCGCAACCCUUGUUAUUAGUUGCCAGCAUUAAGUUGGGCACUCUAAUGAGACUGCCGGUGACAAGCCGGAGGAAGGUGGGGAUGACGUCAAGUCAUCAUGCCCCUUAUGACCUGGGCUACACACGUGCUACAAUGGGCAGUACAACGAGAAGCGAGCCUGCGAAGGCAAGCGAAUCUCUGAAAGCUGUUCUCAGUUCGGACUGCAGUCUGCAACUCGACUGCACGAAGCUGGAAUCGCUAGUAAUCGCGGAUCAGCACGCCGCGGUGAAUACGUUCCCGGGCCUUGUACACACCGCCCGUCACACCAUGGGAGUCUGCAAUGCCCAAAGCCGGUGGCCUAACCUUCGGGAAGGAGCCGUCUAAGGCAGGGCAGAUGACUGGGGUGAAG